rnacentral:lncRNA from 1 species
AACCAUUUGUUAAAAAGGACUAGGAGUUAGAAGAAAGGUUAUGAAAACUAUUAUGUGAAGCUUUGGCUUUCUGAUCCUCUCAUCUCCCUUCUAUGGUCUAGUAUCUCAUCCCCUUCUAGUUACCUUCUUCUAAGUUAAGCUAUCCAUAAUUAGUGUGUUAUUACUUUGGUGUGCGUACUCUACGAUAUAACUUGUAUUCAGUGAUUAAUAUAUAUAAGAGUGCUUUUGUUGGAAUUGAGUUUGUUACAUUGGUGCUUUCAUCCAGAGGUCUCUCUAAUGGAGGACCAAAAAGUACUCGAGGUUUUUGUUGGUGAUUCCAUUCGGAAUUCAAUACAAGAAAUGAAGGAUUGCAUCUCUAAAGAUCUCACUGAAUUUCGUUCAAUGUUGCUGGAGGUUUUGGGGGAAAAGCAUCCGACUUCUUUUGAACCCAAAAACACAGUCAUGGACGUCGAAUUAUGGCAGUUUCGAGGCAAGAAUACAGAGGCUUGGAUAGUUCAAGCAGAACAUUAUUUCAAUUUCUAUAAAAUUGAGGAAGAUCAAAAGCUUAACGUGGCGUCAUUCUACCUUGAUGGUGAAGCAUUGGAAUGGUACCAAUGGUUAUUAAGGAAUAAUCAAUUAAUUGAUUGGAUGCAUUUCGCUGAAAAGGUGAGAAUUCGAUUUAAACAGAAAGUAUGUGAGUCUGCUGGAGGGAGAUUUGCCAAUCUCUGGCAGGUACCCUCUGUGACUGAGUACCCAAAUCGUUUAGAGGUCGUUUCGUCGAAUUUCGGCCAGCCAGAUAUACUUUCGCCAUGCCUUGCACAUGUAACCGAUUCACCCUUGCCUCAAAACUAUGAUGAGCAAUCAGAAAACCCAAUCAAAAUUGAUGAGCACAAGGUGUUCGAUGAAAUGUUAAAUAGUAACUGCCCCAAGGUAUUUACUGUGGCAUUAGGUGCUCCUUUUGAAAUUCGCGAUGAAAAUGUUAUAGGUCCUGAUGGCAGCAAAGUCCAGUUGUUCUAUGGGCAUCCUCAAAUAGAUAUGUCAGAGAGGUAUGUUACAACAACUUCUCUGGAUUGUGGCUCUUGUAAACAAGAAGUUGGUCUUAAUUUCUUUGCAGACAUGUAUCUUGCUGAAUUUUUCUUGGAGCCUGAGAGUAUUGAGGAUUUAUAUCUGGAUAAUUUUUUUAUAAAGAAUGAAAGUGGUAUUCCAAUAAGUGAACUACUUUCAGAUGAAAUGACCUCCAUGGAUAUGGCUCUAACAGGUUAUUCAGUGAAUGCAGAGACAUUACUUUUGUUGGGAUCUAGUAGCACGUUUUAUUUCAUUAUAUAUGCUAACCAUAUGACACAAGUGUGGGAUCCAGGACGACGAUGGUGCGGUGCUUACACCACUACUUAUCGGACAUUUGUUCAGUUUGAAAUUUUAAGGGAUAUUAAUUUCAUUUGCUACUGUUGCAUUAACUAACAGGGAAGUGAUUACUGGUUAGUGGACAAUGUGGUGUUUGUAAGACUAACACUAGCUACUACAAUACUUAAGCACAGUUUUGAUUUUUUUGGGUGGCCUUAGAAGCAUUGAAGAGCAACUGGUGGAACAUGAAAGCCUGACCACUGAUGUAAUUACAGGAGGCAUGGCUUGUGUUAUUCAUCUUCGUAAUUUAGAAUCUGCAAAGGGUACUGAAGUUGAUUCAUCAGUACUUGAGGUUAGCAACUCUUGAUUUCACUCUAACACUAAAGCAGUAGCUCUCGGCUCACCUUCAAGCCUGGACAGAGUUACUAUUGUAAUGUCACGGUGAGUCCACUCGAACCUUGAGGACAAGGUUCUUUUUGAGGGCGGGAGUAUUGUUGUGAAUCAAGUUGUCUCUGAAAGGCCUAUGGGCUAUUAGAGACUUUUAUUUGGGAUCCAGGCCCAAUAACCAUUUGUUAAAAAGGACUAGGAGUUAGAAGAAAGGUUAUGAAAACUAUUAUGUGAAGCUUUGGCUUUCUGAUCCUCUCAUCUCCCUUCUAUGGUCUAGUAUCUCAUCCCCUUCUAGUUACCUUCUUCUAAGUUAAGCUAUCCAUAAUUAGUGUGUUAUUACUUUGGUGUGCGUACUCUACGAUAUAACUUGUAUUCAGUGAUUAAUAUAUAUAAGAGUGCUUUUGUUGGAA